ensembl:lncRNA
CAAACUGUAGGUGGCGAAGAAGUAAAAGCUGUCAUACAGCUGUGCGUGGACUUAACACACUUAAAUAAGCGGGUUCUGAGUGAGAGACAGAUUCUCCCAGCCGUAGAUCAUACCCUGGGAAUGCUCGCUGGUGCGAAAAUCUUCUCAAAGCUGGAUGCCACGUCGGGCUUCUUGCGCUCCCAUUGUCAGAUGAAAGCAAGCUGCUGACGACUUUCAUUACCCCGUUCGGGCGGUAUGCGUUCAAUAGGCUACCGUUUGGAAUCAGUUUCGGCGCCCAAACACUUGUAGCGUCGCAUGUUUCAGAUGCUGGAAGGAUGCGCGGGUGCAGUGUGUCACGCAGAUGACAUACUUGUGUAUAGCGAGAACAAGACCCAGCACAAUGAGAGACUGCGUCAGGUCCUACGAACACUGAAGGAAGAGGGACUGGGGAAAAAUGUGAGUUUGCAAAAGACAGCAUGAGUGUGUGAUGGGAAUGGCCAAUUACCUCAGUAAGUUUUUGCCCCAUCUUGCAUCCUAUACACACCCGAUCAAAGACCUGCUAUGUGGAAAGAACGAGUGGUGUUGGGAAGCGCCACAGAAGGAGGCCUUUCAAAGGCUCAAAGCAGAACUGAGUUCCACACAGGUGUUGGCUGCAUACUCACCGACAGCUGAAACGUGCGUGUCGGCGGACGCCUCAUCGUUUGGACUAGGGGGGGGUCCUAACUCAACAGCAGCCAGAUGGAACAUGGAGACCCAUUGUGUUCAUCUCGAGAGGUUUGUCUGAUACCGAAAAACACCAUGCACAAUAGAGAAAGAAGCUCCGGCGGCUACGUGGGCAUGUGAGCGUCUGUCCUCCUAUCUCAUCGGACUGAAAUUCAGAUUAGGGGCAGACUACAAGGCACUAGUGUCAUUGCUAAGCACCAAGGCUCUCGACGAGUAUCCCCUGAGAGUGCUGAGAUUUAGACUGAGGCUGCUGAGGUUUACAUAUGACAUUGUACAUGUGCCGGGUAAAAGCUUGAUAACGGCUGACACAUUGUCAAGGGCCCCUAUAGCGCAUACUUUCACACAGGAGGAAAGAGAGAACGAGGAUGCGGUCACCGUGUUCGUGGAUGCAGUCACACAGAGUCUUCCUGCCACAGAGCCCAGAUUGAAAAAAAUUAUUGAGAGACAGAAAACCGGCCCGUUCUGUGCGAGGCUCAGGUACUGUGAGAUGGGGUGGCCAGAAAGACAUAGGCUCCCCCCAGAGCUGGCCCCCUUCUGGCCUGAAAAGGGUAACAUCACACUGACUGGACAGCUACUUCUCAGAGGCCAAAGGAUUGCAAUCCCACGUGACAAGAGACGUGGGCACCAAGGGAUGGAAAAUGCAGAGCGAGGGCCCGCCAGUCAGUCUGGUGGCCAGGACUGUCUGUCCAAAUCAGUCAGAUGGUGGGAAACUGCAGCGCGUGCUCACAGCAUAGGGCAGAACAGCGAGAACUGUUGCUGACCACACCUGUGCAAGAUAGACCCUGGAAACGAGUCGGCUCAGACUUGUUUUUCUGGGAAAAUGAGACAUACCUUCUUGUGGUGGACUAUUUUUCACGGUACAUAGAGGUAGCCCGUCUCAAGGUAGCUUCAGCUGUGACUGUUGUAGCUGCCCUCAAGGAUGUUUUCGGUCACCAUGGAACACCAAAGACUUUCGUUUCUGACAAUGGGCCGUAAUACAGUUGUUCAGUGUUCGAGUCCUUUGCCAUGGAGUAUGGGUUUACUCGUGUCACAAGUAGCCCCAGAUACCCCCAGGCAAACGGAGAGGUGGAGCGGGCGGUGGCCACAGUUAAAGGAUUGUGGAAAGGAGGAGGUGACAAAGCAAAAGCGCUACAGACAUAUCGGGCUACACCGUUGGAGAUUGGCUACUCCCCAGUGCAACUUCUUCCCAGAUAACACCAGACACAGAGGAAACACCUGAUACAGGCCAAAAUCCAGGUCGUGUCUCACGCCCGCCGGGGCGUCUGGAUCUCUAAGGACGGUUGGACUGUGGUAUGAGCUGGUGAAGAGAAAAAACAGUGAAAAGUUGUGCAUCUUUUAGAUUUAAGUUCUCUGUUUAUGUUUACAGCUUUAUGCUUUAUGUGAUACCUGUAAGGGGGUUUAAGUUUUUGUUUAUGUUUACAGCUUUGUGCUUUAUGUGAUACAUUACAAGAGUGUUACUAAGGAACCUACAAUAAUAAGCUUUAGGUAAUAUAUAGUUAUAUAUGUUGAGAUAACUGUAACAGUGAACCCUGUUCGCUAUUGGAGGGAUUUUAUACUUAAGGGGGGAGAUGUUGUGUAAAGAAUGUAUGUUGUUGCACGGACCCGUUUAGGGGGGACACUGAUGACUUCCGGUUCAAGAGAAAACACGUUGUUUGCUGCUCCGUCUCUGUCUACUUCAUUAACCCUUGCCUAAUGUAACAGGGACAGAUUAGGAACAAAUGCCCGGUGGGGCAGUUUACUCGGUCCCAAAUGUCUGCGCGUAAAUGUUUAUGUCAAUAAAACAAAUCAAACUACUUAUUUCAAUGAGUGACAAGACAUUCGAUUCAAAUCAUAUAUAUAAC